UCUCCGUAGGUGAACCUGCGGAGGGAUCAUUAACACGUAUCCAAACCAUAUUUUAUUUUAACAAAAUCUGUGAUCAUAUUUUAUUUGUUUCAUUACAAAUAUUUCUAUGAAAAAGCUUUUUAUAAAACUUUUUUUAAUAGAAUCAAUUUUUUUUACGCGAAAUAUGUAGAGUUGUUAUUAACUUACUUUACUACUUCAACAAAUUUUUCUAUUUUGAAUUAUCAAUUUAUUCAAUUUUAUUAAUGAGUAAAAUUAUAAAAAAAACUAACGUUUUUAUAAACAACUCUUAGCAAUGGAUAUCUUGGUUCUC
rnacentral:misc_RNA from 1 species